rnacentral:rRNA from 1 species
GAUGAACGCCGGCGGCGUGCUUAACACAUGCAAGUCGAACGGUGAAGGCGGAGCUUGCUCUGCUGGAUCAGUGGCGAACGGGUGAGUAACACGUGAGCAAUCUGCCCCUGACUCUGGGAUAAGCGCUGGAAACGGCGUCUAAUACUGGAUACGAGCUGCGAAGGCAUCUUCAGCAGCUGGAAAGAAUUUCGGUCAGGGAUGAGCUCGCGGCCUAUCAGCUUGUUGGUGAGGUAAUGGCUCACCAAGGCGUCGACGGGUAGCCGGCCUGAGAGGGUGACCGGCCACACUGGGACUGAGACACGGCCCAGACUCCUACGGGAGGCAGCAGUGGGGAAUAUUGCACAAUGGGCGAAAGCCUGAUGCAGCAACGCCGCGUGAGGGACGACGGCCCUCGGGUUGUAAACCUCUUUUAGCAGGGAAGAAGCGAAAGUGACGGUACCUGCAGAAAAAGCGCCGGCUAACUACGUG